UGGUCCACAGUGACCCACAGUGACCCACAGUGACCCACAGUGGUCCACAGUGACCCACAGUGACCCACAGUGACCCACAGUGGUCCACAGUGACCUCUCGUUUUUGCUCUCUGGUAGAUCCUAUUCUGUUCUGUCAGGUGGUUGUAACAACUUAAAUUUAAGGAUUUCUUUGCACAAACUGUUGUGCUGUUGGACAGGCACCUUAGGGAGCGCUCCAGAAAGGCCUGCAUCCAAAAUGACCCUCUUGUCUUCGGGUCAUUUUGACCCGAAGACAACAGGAGGUUAUUCUUAUUUUUUUCGUCAAGUUCACAUUUGAAUUGCUGCAGCAGAAAAUUCUAUCUGAGUUGUGAACACUGUAGGUCUGAUUCAGGACUGUUAGAUUUCAAGUUUCUGUAUGCAGUUGCAAUUAAAAAUGUUUUAUAAGGGCUUGUCCUCGGGUCAUGUCAACCCGAGGGCAACAGGAGGGGGGGGAAAUUUGAAAAGAUAUCAGUUUUACGGAGAUCAGUGAUGCCAUUCCAUACUGUUUGCCUGUCCAGCUGUAAUUUCCUUAGUCUUCCGGUCAGUCUGACCUGAGGCCUGGGUUUGGUUAUCUUUAUUUCUUUUGUAAAGUUCACAUUUGGAUUGCUUGAGCCUAAACUUCCCCCUGAGUUGUGCACACCAUAGUUCUGAUGCAGGACUGUUAGAUUAAAGUUUCUGUAUGCAGCUGCAAUUGAAAAACAUAUUUUUUAAGGGCUUGUCCUCGGUCGACAUGAGCCGAGGACAACAGGAGGGUUAAUUAAAAUGUUUAAGGAAAGAUUGUUAUUUUUACACCAACUGUUAACCUCUUUUUUUUUAUGUUGUUAUCCAGGUUUUAAUUAUUAUUGAAACCUUUGUGGGCAGACGCGUUCUCUUGACGAAACACGAUGGCGAGGACGAGAACCUGUCACCACAACAAGUUGGAUGAAAUCAUCCAAUACGGCUUCCGUGAAACUCAAUUGCGAUUCUGCAGCCAGAACCCAGAAAAAUAUUCACAUGUGAAUCUGCUAAAUGUACCAGCCCGGUCUUAGAGGACGCUUCACCUUCUGUCACAAGUUUCUGGCUUUUCACUAAAUGUUUUGUUUUCUAUAUCUGCAAAAUUAAUCUUGAAAAUUCCAGGCUUGUUUUUUGUGCCCAGAUUUUUCCAGUGCGAACACAAACCAGUUUCCCUCCAUGCCUCUGCAAACUCAGAUGUCUGCUGACAAAUAAUCAGCACAUUCCAGUCAACAGCUUCACUCGCCUAAUUGGCAGCAACUUCCCCAAAUCGAAGGAAGUGAAACUUUAACAGAGCGUGCAAAGAUCCUGGUUCUGGUUCCUGCCCAGAACGUUUCUUACCUUCUUGGGUUUGGUUCGAUGCUCCAGAAAAGCAGACACCAGCAGCGCUCUGCAGCCGUGGACUCGUAUCAGAUGGGCCGCCUGUCCUUUGAGAACUGGAAGAGGAAAAACAUUAAAAUCAGGAAGAUUAAAAUGUAGAUUAGCAGGUCAGUGGAUAAUAAAACAGAAUCAGUGGGAUCAGUCAAGUGCAAGGCGUUCUCCUGCGGAGCAGCGAUUGGUGUUGGUUCAUUCACACCAGUCCCAUUUAAAACGCUUUAAUCCAACUCCAGUCCGAUUUCCAGAAGGUCCAGUUCGGUCUGUGAGGUGGGAAUGCUAAGCUAACACUGGUUCGCCUGCAAACCUCAAUCCGGUUUGAAUGUGAACGCCAAGCGGACCAGAGAGCGCUCCAAAAGCAGGAAGUGGGCCACAGUGCAGGGCAUUCUGGAUAAAAGCCGGGUGGGACCUGUGGUUCCUGUGGCUCGGUUCUGGACCACAGCCGGCCCGACUGAUGGCUGCCAGGCGUCCGUCAGAACCUGCGGAGGCGACGUCCUGUUGGACCUGCAGAGCGACAAAACAAACAGGUUUUAUAUCCACCAGUCUGUGAUCAGACUAAACAACUGCAGUGAAGAUAAAUAAUUCAUGCGUAACGAUCAUUCAGACACAAAGCAGCAAAAAUAAGUUAUUUUCUCAUUGUUGCAUCAAAUUCAUGACACUGAGUGGAUUAAACCUUAGCAGUUCUGGUGAGCAAAGAGAUUAUUUCAUAUUUUCUUCACAUUUCCUGCGUCGUGUCACUUUAAAGUUUUGUUUUCAUUGUUUUCUCAUCCUUCCCCAAUCACAUUCCUCACACUCUGCCUGAGCGACGGGUUUCUAUCAGAUGGUUUGUUUUAUUUUCACUCUUUCAAUAUAUGAUGUAAAAAAAGAGAAAGAAAAGUCUCCAAAUUUACUCCAAACACAGGAUUUGUUUUCUCAUGUCACCAUGGAAGAGGAUUAGAGACACAGAAAAUAAAAUCCAUAAUUCUUCUGGGAUUAAAUUCAGAAUAAUAAAAAUAAACUUUGUUUUGUGGUCCAAAUCACAAAACAACAAAAUGCAACAUCAUCUGUUCCUAAACAGCCUCCAAUUCAUUUCAUGAUUUUGGUUUAUAUUUGAGUUUUUCUGCUGCAGCCGUGCCGUAUUAACAGAUAUGCUAAACAUCUCUUCUCAGUUCCACCAGACAGGUUUUUGAUUAAAACUGUCAAAAUGA